rnacentral:rRNA from 1 species
UACGGAGGGGGCAAGCGUUGUUCGGAAUUACUGGGCGUAAAGGGCGCGUAGGCGGCCUUCUAAGUCGAACGUGAAAUCCCCGGGCUCAACCCGGGGAACUGCGUCCGAUACUGGAAGGCUUGAAUCCGGGAGAGGGAUGCGGAAUUCCAGGUGUAGCGGUGAAAUGCGUAGAUAUCUGGAGGAACACCGGUGGCGAAGGCGGCAUCCUGGACCGGUAUUGACGCUGAGGCGCGAAAGCCAGGGGAGCAAAGCGGG